UCAAAAUGGAAAGCCUGACUUGGAGAACAUUUAUCUUUAUUUUACUUGUCUAGAAAUCCAACCAAGUGAAAAUGAAAUGGUUUAUGGUUUUCAUAAUCUCGUUUAUUCUUUUACAUAUUACAGCAGAGAAAUAAAUCCUGUGAUCAAGAUUUUCAGAAACAAGCCCAUAUUUAUUGUUAGGCACCUGCCCAAGUUAUCAAAAUGCUGGGCUCCUGCUAGUUUCCAUUCAUCUCAGAAGCACAGGUUUAACACUGCAAGGAUAAAUGCCUUCACUGGUCAAAGCUGCAAUUGAAUAUAUUAAGGAAGCAAACUACUUAUGUGAUAGAGACAGUAUGAAUAAAUACCUGAUUUUUGAAAGGACUUCAGCUUUCAGCACUCACUGAAAUACAUGAGCUAAAUAAGAAAUAUACCAUCUACCCAGAUGACAUCACUUCCUGGUGUAUCUUGUAUGACUUUUCUAUGGAUUCACCUCUGUUCAGAGACAUGAAAGUGAAAGAAUUGGAUACCUAUAAUGUCUAUGGAGUUCAGCAGAAGACAGAAACAGUGUGAGAGAAUAUACUUCAUUUACCUUGCCACUGGUGUUUGAGCAAUGCACUGAUACAUAGCAUGUCAUCAGAUGAGACUGAAUAAGAGCUUUUGUUUUGAAGGCCUCUAAAACUGUCAUUCUAAGGCUUU